GAUGACUGAUUUCUUUUGGUGUUCAGAGUCAAUAUAAUUUUCUAGCACCAUCUGAAAUCGGUUAU
ensembl:miRNA cja-mir-29a cja-mir-29a